rnacentral:rRNA from 1 species
GACGAACGCUGGCGGCGUGCUUAACACAUGCAAGUCGAACGGAAAGACCAUGAUCUUGUGGGGUGCACGAGUGCCGAACGGGUGAGUAAAACGCGUGUAUACUGUCCUUGAAUUUGGGAUAACUUCAGGAAAAUGCGGCUCAUAUCGGAUAGGAGCUCCUGCAGCAUGGUGGGGGUUGGAGAGAUUCGGCGGUUGUGGAUGGACUAGCGGCUUAUCAGCUUGUUGGGGAGGUAGUGGUAUACCAAGGUUAUGAGGGAUAGCCGGCCUUAGAGGGUGACCGGCGACAAUGGGACUAAGGGACGGACCAGACGCCAACGGGAGGCAGCGGUGGGAAAUAUUGCGCAGUGGGCGGAAGCCUGAUGCAGCAACGCCGCGUGCGUGAUGACGGCCUUCGGGUUGUGAACCGCUUUCGCCUUUAACGAAGCGUGAUUGACGGUAAUUGGUAAAGAAGCACCGGCUAACUACGUG